rnacentral:lncRNA from 1 species
UGCAUGCUUAACUCUUAUCCGCGCAUCCUUUAGUUGCAAGCAUAUUCAAUUUACUUAAUCAAGUCUCAUUCGAUAAAUCAACCUAUUGCUAAGUUUAAAUUCCACUGUGCAACUAUACAACUUAGCAUAAUUAAUUGAAAAGUGUUAGAAGUAGCUUAAAAGUUUUAUAAGACCCAAUUCACCCCCCCUCUUGGGUUGUAUCUACUGGGCAACAAGU